UCCGAUUGCGAAGGGCAGCCCACAAGGCCUUUUACUGACGCUAAAGCUCGAGGUGCGGGUAUCGAACAGGGAUUAGAUACCCUGGUAGUCCGCACGGUAAACGAUGGAUGCCCGCUGUUUGCGAUAUACUGUGAGCGGACAAGAGAAAUCGUUAAGCAUCCCACCUGGGGAGUACGCCGGCAACGGUGAAACUCAAAGGAAUUGACGGGGGCCCGCACAAGCGGAGGAACAUGUGGUUUAAUUCGAUGAUACGCGAGGAACCUUACCCGGGCUUGAACUGCCAGCGAACGAUUCAGAGAUGAUGAGGUCCUUCGGGACGCUGGUGGAGGUGCUGCAUGGUUGUCGUCAGCUCGUGCCGUGAGGUGUCGGCUUAAGUGCCAUAACGAGCGCAACCCUUUUCUUUAGUUGCCAUCAGGUGAUGCUGGGCACUCUGGAGAUACUGCCACCGUAAGGUGUGAGGAAGGUGGGGAUGACGUCAAAUCAGCACGGCCCUUACGUCCGGGGCUACACACGUGUUACAAUGGGGGGUACAGAGAGUCGGAUAUACGCAAGUAUGUUCUAAUCCUUAAAGCCUUCCUCAGUUCGGAUUGGGGUCUGCAACCCGACCCCAUGAAGCUGGAUUCGCUAGUAAUCGCGCAUCAGCCAUGGCGCGGUGAAUACGUUCCCGGGCCUUGUACACACCGCCCGUCAAGCCAUGAAAGCCGGGGGCGCUUGAAGUCCGUGACCGCAAGGAUCGGCCUAGAGCGAAACUGGUAAUUGGGGCUAAGUCGUAACAAGGUAGCCGUA
rnacentral:rRNA from 1 species